rnacentral:rRNA from 1 species
AAUUCAUGCUGUUGGCGCCAGGUCCGGUAAAAGGCCCCCGAAUUACCUUAUGAUUGAGAAUAUUUUCGGAAAAGGAAGGCAAAUUCUCAAUUCAGCUUCCUUGAUGGAGUGCAGGAAGCUAGAAAUGUUCGGGAGCCAUAGGAUAUGGAUGCGGCCGAUUAGGUAGACUGUGGGGUAACGGCCCACCGUGCCAGUAAUCGGUACGGGUGAUGAGAGUCAGAGCCCGGAGACGGUAUAUGAGACAAGAUACCGGGCCCUACGGGGCGCAGCCGCCGCGAAACCUUUACACUGCACGACAGUGCGAUAGGGGGACUCCGAGUGCGAGGGCAUACAGUCCUCGCUUUUGUGCACCGUAAGGUGGUGCAGGAACAAGUGCUGGGCAAGACCGGUGCCAGCCGCCGCGGUAAUACCGGCAGCACGAGUGAUGGCCGAUAUUAUUGGGCCUAAAGCGUUCGUAGCCGGCCAGACAAGUCUGUUGGGAAAUCCACGCGCCCAACGCGUGGGCGUCCAGCGGAAACUGUUUGGCUUGGGGCCGGAAGACUCGAGGGGUACGUCCGGGGUAGGAGUGAAAUCCCGUAAUCCUGGACGGACCACCGGUGGCGAAAGCGCCUCGAGAAGACGGACCCGACGGUGAGGAACGAAAGCCAGGGUCUCGAACCGGAUUAGAUACCCGGGUAGUCCUGGCCGUAAACGAGCCUGCUAGGUGUGGCGCAGGCUACGAGCCUGCGCUGUGCCGUAGCGAAGGCGCGAAGCAGACCGCCUGGGAAGUACGUCUGCAAGGAUGAAACUUAAAGGAAUUGGCGGGGGAGCACUACAACCGGAGGAGCCUGCGGUUUAAUUGGACUCAACGCCGGACAUCUCACCGGCACCGACAGUAGCUGUGAAAGUCAGUCUGAUGGGUUUACUGGAGCUAAUGAGAGGAGGUGCAUGGCCGCCGUCAGCUCGUACCGUGAGGCGUCCUGUUAAGUCAGGCAACGAGCGAGACCCGCACUCCUAGUUGCCAGCAACACCAUUGGUGGUUGGGUACACUAGGAGGACUGCCGCUGCCAAAGCGGAGGAAGGAACGGGCAACGGUAAGUCAAUAUGCCCCGAAUGUGCCGGGCAACCCGCGGGGUACAAUGGCCGAGACAAUGGGAAGCUACCCCGAGAAGGGACGCUAAUCCCCUAAACUCGGUCGUAGUUCGGAUUGAGGGCUGGAACUCGCCCUCAUGAAGCUGGAUUCGGUAGUAGUCGCGUGUCACAAGCGCGCGGCGAAUACGUCCCUGCUCCUUGCACACACCGCCCGUCAAAGCACCCGAGUGAGGUCCGGAUGAGGCCAUCAUGCGAUGGU